ensembl:snoRNA
UGGUUAUUGCUAGGCUUUUAAAAUGCAGUUUCUCAUUUGCUGUGGACAUAACCAUUUAAAAAAAAAUCCCCGUAGGGUUUUUCUUGUACUACUUUGUUAGCAGUCAACCUGUUGGGAAUGUUU